UCAUGUAAAAUAAUUAGAAUAAAACGUAAUGAAUAAGAAAAAUUAACGAAGUCUGAAAAAAACAAGUGAAAAAUAAAUGUUUUAAAUUGUUAAACUGGCAACUGUGCUGCAUUAGUCAGACGAUUUAAUAAAAAGAAACACAUUUUUGAACAUGUGUUUAUUAGCAGUCUGCAGUCUAGUCAGUUUAGAUUGGAAUCUUGAAGUCUUGAACAGUUUUAAUCUGAUUUAAUCGAGGAAAACAAAAUGAAGAGACUAGAUGUUCUUCAAAUCUUGGCAGAAAGGAAUGAAAGAAGAAAACGCGAACUGGAGCUCAAUGGUAACAUAUAAUGGAUUAUUUUCUGUUUGGGCCCAAAACAAAACUUACACACAUUUUCACUCAAAGACUCCAUCCUCGUUGAAUCAUCAUCCCAGAGUGCUUCGUCAAAAAGUAGUAGACAGGAAGAAUUAAAUCGUGCUACAGUUCUGGAUAUUUUUGAUGAUACACAAGUUUAUCUUUUUUAUUCAAAUGGCGAAGUUAACUAUUCUUGGCUUGAUAAAGAUCUAGGUAUUAAAGAUGUUCCAAAGAUGUCUUCUUCAGAUUUGGUGAACUAUUUGCGGUCAGAAAUAAAGGGCAAUAAAUUACAACGAUCAUUGUUAACCUGCAAAUUAUCAUGUAGGAGAUAUUUGUUCUUUCUAAUGUCAGUGACAACAAGCAAAGAUGUGGCAGAACUCAGAAGUGUGUCUUAAGAUUCUUUCAGAAAAAAUA